rnacentral:rRNA from 1 species
AUACGGAGGGUGCGAGCGUUAAUCGGAAUUACUGGGCGUAAAGCGUGCGUAGGCGGUUUGCUAAGUCAGAUGUGAAAGCCCCGGGCUUAACCCGGGAACUGCAUUUGAUACUGGCAGACUAGAGUAUGAUAGAGGGGGGUAGAAUUCCUGGUGUAGCGGUGAAAUGCGUAGAUAUCAGGAGGAAUACCAGUGGCGAAGGCGGCCCCCUGGAUCAAUACUGACGCUGAGGUACGAAAGCGUGGGGAGCGAACAGGAUUAGAAACCCUAGUAGUCC